AAGCGGUCGGGGUAGCGGAAGCCCCCUGACGAGAUUUUUUGCAGGAUCGAAACCGCUA
rnacentral:hammerhead_ribozyme from 15 species